UACGUAGGGGGCUAGCGUUGUCCGGAAUCAUUGGGCGUAAAGCGCGUGUAGGCGGUCCGGUAAGUCCGCUGUGAAAGUCGGGGGCUCAACCCUCGGAUGCCGGUGGAUACUGUCGGGCUUGAGUACGGAAGAGGCGAGUGGAAUUCCUGGUGUAGCGGUGAAAUGCGCAGAUAUCAGGAGGAACACCAAUUGCGAAGGCAGCUCGCUGGGACGUUACUGACGCUGAGACGCGAAAGCAUGGGGAGCGAACAGG
rnacentral:rRNA from 1 species